CCUUUAGCGGGGCAGAGGGGGACAAUGGCGCAACCGGACAUAGAUCAACUCGUGAAUCUGUUCGAAUACGUUGGGAAGGCUCUUGGUGUUCAACUCCUCGUCCUCCCAUGUGUUGGCAGGGGUAGCCACAUUGUGCGCUCCCCUCCCAACCAAACCCAAACCCCGGCGCUUAAUGCGCCAAGGAACUAAAACUGGUUCAGUGCGCCCCUGUAGGCACCGGAGACGAUGCUCUUGCAGGAGGUGUUUUGAUGCAUGGUAUAUAUAUAAACGACUCUCGGCAACGGAUAUCUAGGCUCUUGCAUCGAUGAAGAACGUAGCGAAAAUGCGAUACUUGGUGUGAAUUGCAGAAUCCCGUGAACCAUCGAGUUUUUGAAACGCAAGUUGCGCCCGAAGCCACUAGGUUGAGGGCACGUCUGCCUGGGCGUCACAUAUCGUUGCCCAAUGCCUAUUGAUAGGCUGUGCAGGGCGAAUGUUGGCUUCCCGUGAGCAUUGUUGUCUCAUGGUUGGCUGAAAACUGAGUCCUUGGUAGGGUGUGUGCCAUGAUAGAUGGUGGUUGUGUGACCCACGAGACCGAUCAUGUGCAGCUCUUACCAGAUUUGGCCUCUAUGACCCAUCGGCGUCCUUGGAUGCUCAUGACGAGACCUCAGGUCAGGCGGGGCUACCCCGCUGAAUUUAAGCAUA
rnacentral:rRNA from 1 species